UACGGAGGAUCCAAGCGUUAUCCGGAUUUAUUGGGUUUAAAGGGAGCGUAGGCGGCUUAUUAAGUCAGGGGUGAAAGACGGUGGCUCAACCAUCGAAGUGCCUUUGAUACUGAUGAGCUUGAAUAUAGUUGAGGUAGGCGGAAUGUGACAAGUAGCGGUGAAAUGCAUAGAUAUGUCACGGAACACCGAUUGCGAAGGCAGCUUACUAAGCUAUUACUGACGCUGAGGCGCGAAAGCGAGGGGAGCAAACGGG
rnacentral:rRNA from 1 species